AUGCUGAAAGAACUCCAAAUGUGCCAAAGAAUUUCAUCAGUUUGGCAAGACAGAAGAGACAGAAGAUUAACAAACUUCAUCCUGUGUGCAGAAGCCUCCCCCUCAUUCACCUCCUGUCUGCAGUAUGGAUUCCCAGGCCCUCCUUUCUGCAAAUGCUACCUAGGUAUGCAAGUCUGGCUUGUAGAGAGAGAGACAAACAAUUGCCGAAACAGAGAGAUACUUCAGGUCUUUUGUUUAGUUCAGGUGGAGUGGAUGAUAUAAGUGGAAAAGCCAAAUGUUUGUAUCAUGUACCACCAUAUUUCAGGAAAAAACAGCCAAUCAACCAAACGACCCAAAAAUACAGGAAUAUACAAAGGUAUUAAUAAUAUUUUUCUAAUAGCUUUAGUUACUUGCAAAAGUAGGACAUAAAGUGUUAUUGAAUGUCUUAUCAGUUUUUCUGUCAGGAGGAUGUAUUCAUGUGUCAUGAUGCUGAAAUACAGAACAGACCUAAAAAUGCUUUGCUAUCAGACUGCAGCAGCAGCAGAUUCUUUGCAGACAUCUUGUAAGACACUCCCAAAGAGGAGGCAGCCUGGGGUACUUCCACAUAAGAAGCUGAUUACACUGCAGGAGAUUGACCAAACUGCAUGUUGAUUUAAUUUUAUGCUUUGUGUGCUUUAUCACUUACUUGUACAGUCCUCACUCUUUGUGGUUUUGGCCUUUGCAGAGAGGCAUCCUCUGCAGACAAAAAUCAGUUCAGAGAAAAAAAAAAUUUAAAAAGAUUAUCCUAUGCAUUCUUUAGGGACAGUAAACUUGUGACAGUCCAUUCUGAUGGAAUAAUUCUCUUGUUCUAUUUUAACUUCUAUAAUUUUUUUCUUUUUACUCAAUUUCUCCUUUGCUGUAACUUCCCAAUCAGUAAAAGUUUCAGAAGACAGUUUUAGUUGAUACUUUCUAUUUAAUAUUUUUACAAUGUAAUUAAUGAUUCAUAUUCCCAUUAAAACUUUAUAAGUAGAUCUUGUCUAAUUCUGUCUUCAGUAUUCUGUUGAAAUUUCACCCUGUUUAUGUUCAAACUCAAUUAUUUUAUUGACGUUCUCUGAGACUUUCAUAUUUCCUGUGUGAGGGACAUUGACUGGAAUAUUAUUUAUGAUUGCAAUUUUCUCUGCCCAGGAUAUGAUUGGUUUUGUGACCCAUAUUCCACAGGCAUAAAGUGAAAGUAGAAUAGUUUGUCCUUCUGCUGAUUUAUUUCUGCCUCUCAUAUGAUAAGAUAAAACAUCUCACAUGGGAUUAAUUAACUUGAUAUAAUGGGAUUAUAUUACACAGGUAUCUUGGAUAGAAUGUGCAAUAUAUUUUUACAUCAGAUCUGUUUCCAUCCAUAUGGGAUGUAUCACUCUUUUUCCUUCACAAAAGUAUCCUGAUUCUUCUGGUGGUACUUCUCUGGCCCUUUGUACCAUAUUCAAACUACACUUCAUUCUAUUUUGUUCUGUUAAUUCUCAUAUUGCUGUUCAGCAUGAGGAAAGCUAAGAUCUUAGGGUUUGUAUCUACAUUCAUGUCCAUAUCAUGAAAUUAACUUUCACAUUCUGAAAAAUAUUACUAAAAAGGGUAUUAUUAUUAAGAAUAUUGUCCUGCUAGCUAUGUCAGUAAGCAUCUAUUAGACAGUUGUCUAUGCUGCAGGUAAUGUAGCAAAAAGGGUAUAAUUCAUCUAUAGUGUUUGGUUAUGUACUUUUUGCAGCUCUUUUCUAAUUGUUGUUUUAUUUAUAUAUUUUUUUUCACUUUUUCAUUAUAGUCGUCAGUGAGGGAUAUGUGAUCAUUCCCUGACUGUCUGACCUAGAAUAUCACUAAGUGAUUCAACAAUAUUUACUCCUAAAGGAUUUUUAAAGCAACUUUAAAGAUAGAAGCAUUUUAUAAAAAUUCAUUUUUGAAGUAGAAGAGAAGUUUAUUAAAAUCACCUGAGGUACUCAUAAGGGUUUAAUUAUCUAUUUGGUCACCAUUUCAAUUACACUGCUAUUGAGCAUCAGGCAAACAGGUUGGAUGUAUAUUUUAUCGGAUAAAUAUACUUUGCAAAUGAAAUCAGAGGAAAUCCCGGAGUAACUGAAUAGUCAUCAGAAUAUUAUACUUCUUUGUUCUCAGAUAGAUAAAAACCGCUUAUGAGUGGGUAUGAGUGGGAUUUAGAAAUGUGAACAGCACUGCACUUAAUCUGCUCCUGUAGAAGGUAUUGGGUGUUUUAAUACUGAUAAUAUUGAUUUCAGGGCAAUCAGAGACCUACACUUCAUCACUUCAUCUUUUCUUUUUUCUUUUUCUUUUUUUUUUUUUAAUGCAUGUGUGUCAAAUCUCAUUUUAUAUGGAGUGCUGCUUCAAUAUCCUGUCACUUGAUGCAAUAUCUGUUCAGCAAGAGUUAUUAAAAUAUAUAUAUUUAAAUUAAAACCUUGUUGAUGUUAGAUGUAGAUUUUAGCUGUCCUAGUAUCUAAUAGCUCAUAAAAUUGAUCUCAUGCAGGGCAGUUGAUGUUUAGAAACAAUACAGUUAUGUUCAUCUGGCAUUGCACUUCUGAUAGUGGGCUUCACAACAUGUGAAGACAAUAGCAAUCCUGAUUUUGAACUUGUGCAUAGAAGUUUUAACAAUGCUAUCUCUUUGGUCCUGCUUUCUUGGAUCGGUUGUGUUUAAUGGAUUCUGACGAUGUGAACAAAUCCAAAGAUGCAUGAGUUAUUUAUAUAUGGACACUGCCAACUUGUCCUUCACCUGAUCUUCCCCAAAACAGCAUGCAUGCAUAAUUUCUGCCUUUCCUGGAUCUCAAUAUGUUUAAAGUAUAUUUUGAACUAAAUUUGUGGGUGGUACAGUCAAGAGCUUCAUGUCCAGAGCAACUCCAGGUUACAGACAUGCAUACAUAUAUAUACAUAUAAUUUAUAUAUAAAUAAUAAAAAUAUGAAAAGAGAUACCUUAAAACCA
ensembl:lncRNA